rnacentral:rRNA from 1 species
UACGAAGGGGGCUAGCGUUGUUCGGAAUUACUGGGCGUAAAGGGUGCGUAGGCGGCUUUCUAAGUCGGAUGUGAAAACUCUGGGCUCAACCCAGAGCCUGCAUCCGAAACUGGAAAGCUAGGGUUCUGGAGGGGAAAGCGGAAUUCCUGGUGUAGCGGUGAAAUGCGUAGAUAUCAGGAGGAACACCGGUGGCGAAGGCGGCUUUCUGGACAGAUACCGACGCUGAGGCACGAAAGCUAGGGGAGCAAACAGG